UGCCUUUUUGUGUUGCCCAUUCUUUGCCUUUUUCUUAAAAGAAUGUGGUGUCAGUAAAGGCAUACAGUAAAGUUUUGGUUUGGCCUUUACCGGGUAAUUCCAGUGUUACCUUGCGCAAAGCUCUGUACCAAGCACAUAU
ensembl:snoRNA Small nucleolar RNA SNORA13